rnacentral:lncRNA from 1 species
GGCAACAUAUGCUUUUCUAGUUUGUCUACAAAAAGCUUUCCCCACAAGGGGCUUGUUCUCUAUUCAUGGCACCCACUUACCACAAGAAGGUGUUUACUUAUAGCUGGUUAACAGGAAGAGUCAAUAUUUUUUUGAGACAUAACCCUGGUGAAAGCAAAAGUAAAUCCAGUAAUUUUUAAGAGACAGUGCCACAAACCAUUCUGUUAAAUGGGAAGAAGAUGGGCUCACUCUCUCUCUCUCUCUCUCUUUUUUUUUUUUUUUGUGGUCACACCCAUGGCAUAUGGUAGUUCCUGGGCCAGGGAUUGAAUCCAAGCUGCAGCUGCAGCUGCAGCCUACACCGCAGCUGUGGUAACACCAGAUCCUUUAACCAAUUACACUGGGCUGUGGAUGGAACCUGUGCCUCCACAGCAGCCUGAGUCACUGCAGUCAGAUUCUUAACUCACUGUACCACAGCGGGAACUACAAAGAGGUGCUGUUUUUAAGAACUAGUAGUACGGGUUGAUUUUCCAUAAAAGUGUUUACAUCUGUGUUGUCUUUUUAUGGUAAGUUGCAAGUGUUUUGACAAGACUUGAUAAUCGCUACAACAUUUUACAGUGAGUAGACUAGAGCUGACAAUACACUGUGAUGGUGGUAAAGAGUUCCUAUUUCUAGAUUCAUGAAUUUUCAGUGGAUUCAGCAAUUGUUUUUUGACUCUCUAUGUGCCUGAUUCUCAUCUGAGUCCUGAGGAUAUGGCAGAUAAGAAAAGAGACAAUGCCUAGUCCUUGUGGAACUUACAUUUAAUUGAUGAGACAAACAGUAAACAAUGUAAAUAUGUGAAUGAUGUGAUAUUUCAGAUGGAGAAAUGCUAUGGAAAAAAUAAGGCACCCCAGGGGUUAGGGAGUGCUGGUGUGAGGGCCCAAGAAAUAGCAACAACAAAAGACAAAAGACAAAAAAAAAAAAAAAAAAAGACAUCCACAGGUGGAGUAGGUUCUCUGCUUGAGUAAUUUUGGCUUGAAAAUGUCACCAAAGAUUAAAGAUUUUUUUUCUGUCUUUCUCUUCUGUCAUCUUUGGAAUUUUGGUCUUGGCCUCAGGCUGGUUCCUCUUGUAGUUAUAAUAUGACUCCAGCAAAUCUAAGUGGGUUUUCUAUUUAUAGUGUAUGUCAUGGGGGUGGAUGGUGAGGUAGAAAGAGAGAGAGAUCAUGGAACAUUCUUAAAGCCCUUAAAAGCCUUUCAUUUUGUCUCAUUGAAUCCAUCCUGGACCAAAAUCAGUAAUGGGGGAUACCAUGCGCUUAGUGCCUGACAGACAGUCAGCAUCACCAUCUAGAGCUGGGAAUGCAGUUGAUAUCUGAGUAAAAUGGAAUUCUUUAGAAAAGAAGAAAUGGGCGCUGGGCAAGUAAUAAUCAGGGUCAGAAUAAUCUUAGAAGUCUCGUGCAUGAAACAAUAUAAAACAUUUCAUACCGACCAAGAUGGCUAUUAUCAAAAAAAAAUAGAAAAUAAAAAUAUUGGCAAGGAUUUAGAGAAAUUGGAGCCCUCGUAGAUUACUGAUGGGAGUGUAAAAUGGUGUAGCCAUUGCAGAAUGGUUUAGCAGUUUCUCAAAAAAGUUAAACAUAGAAUUACCAUAGAUCCAGCAAUUCUACUCCUAGGAAUAUACCUAAAAGAACAGAAAGCAAGGGCUUAAAACGAUACUUGAACACUCAUGUUCCUAGUAGCAUUACUCACAAUAGCUAAAAGGUGGAAAUAACUUGUGUCCAUCAGCAGAUGAAUGGAUAAACAAGAUGUGGUAUAUAAUACAAUGUGAUAUUGAACCACAAAAAGUAUUGAAGUUCUGAUACAUGCUGUUUAACAAGGAGGACCCUUGGAGUUCCUGUUGCAGAAAAGCAGUAAGGACCCUAAUAAUUUUUAUGAGGAUUCGUGUUCGCUCACUGGCCUCGCUUAGUGGGUUGAGGAUCCUGCAUUGCCUCAAGUGGCUGUGGUGUAGGUCCCAGAUGCACUUUGGAUCCUGUGUUGCUGUGACUGUGGCAUAAACUGGCAGCUGCAGUUCUGAUUUGACCCAUAGUGUGGGAACUUCCAUAUGCCACACCUGUGGCCCUAAAAUAAAUGUACAUACCUUGAAAACUUUAUGCUAAGUGAAAUAUGCCAGACAUAGAAGGAUACCUGUUCUGUGAUUCUUUUCUUUCUUUUUUUUUUUUUUUUUUUUUCUUUUUUUUUUUUUUUUAUUUUUUUUAAGUGAUUUUUUUUUCCAGUGUUAACUUUUUCUCUUUUUUUUUUUUCUUUUAUGGGGCCCCCCCCCCAGCAUAUGGAUGUUCCCAGGCUAGGGGUCUAAUCAGAGCUGUAGCCGCCAACCUACGCCAGAGCCACAGCAACGCCAGAUCGGAGCAGCAUCUGCGACCUACACCGCAGCUCACGGCAAUACCAGAUCCUUAACCCACUGAGCUAGGCCAGGGAUUGAACCCGCAACCUCAUGGUUCCUAGUCGGAUUCAUUUCCGCUGAGCCACGACGGGAAACUCCAUGAUUCUUAUAUAAAGUGUCCAGAAUAGGCAAAUUCAUGCAUUAGAAAGUAGAAUAGAAUUACCAGGAGCUGGGCAAAAGGGUAAAUAGACAGUUGUUUAUUGGAUACAGAGUUUCUGUUUGGGAUGAUGAAGACAAUUCAGGAAGUAAUGGUGAUACUUACACAACACUGUGAAUAUGCUUAAUGCCACCAAAUUGCACAUUAUAAAUGGUUGCCGUGGCAAAUUUUGUUAUGUAUAUUUGACCACACAAAAGAACUAUGCAUAACCAACUUGAGGUCACAUGUUAGUCACUUUAGGAGCUUGUAAAUAAGCUUCUUCGCUGUCCUCCUUAUCCUGUACACCAAUAAAGGAGGGACCAAAUUUGGAGUAAACAUCUCAUGCCAACUACCAAUGUCUGGUACCAAUUCCCAAAGAACAACUCUCAAAUGUUGGUGUUUAUUCCCCAUUUAAAACAAAAAUGAAACAAACUUGGUUUCUGUAGUCAUAUAAGCUUCUGAUAAACUAAAUUCCGUCAUUCCUAUAAAAUAAAUAUUACCACCAAACAGAGGGGCAACGUAAGCUGCAUCUUUCCAUGAGUUUCUAGUCUUGAUAUUUAUUCUCAAAUUUCUUCAUCAACUUACUGAUAAGUUGGAAGGAAGCCCAGGUAUUGAGGAAAAUCCUGGAUCUCUCUUGCUUUAUUUUCUGAAUGAAAUAAAUAACGUAUAUAGUUCUGAAAUGGAGAUGGACAUGAAAGCCUUAUUUUUGGUUGUAAGAAAACAGGAAAUAACUAAAUGAGUUUUGAUCCUUUAUAUUGGACAUAGGACCUUCUUACCUGCCUGCCUCUGUUUUCAAACAAUUUGGAUGCAGAAAUUCCGAGCUCUUAUAGUUCUUUCACUGAAGCUCGUUAGAAUAGGGCAAUAACUACUUCUAAAAUGCUCUCUCAGAUCAGAAUUCUUUUUUUUUUUUUUUUUUUUUUUGUAUUGAAAACCAAAUAAAUGCAUGUUAUAGACUCUUAAAGCACUAAGGGAGGACAAAUAUCUGAUUGAUCUACUCAUUUUAAAGAAUUAGGCACUUGAUGCCUAUGGCUCAGAGCUACUUAUAAUCCCAGUAUCUUGUGAAUGGUUAGUGGUACAACAAAGCCCGGGAUGUGGGUUAUUUGUUCUUUUUAGUUGGAUUUAGUCAAAUAGUCAAAAGAUUAUGACGAGACUGUAUUAAAAAUAUAGAGCUAUAAUAUGAUAACAUCAUACCAACCCUUGGUUUUCAUGCCAGUAUCAUUCUAUAAGAGGAAGGAUGCCUAUUUGGCCAGGGCCUCCAUUCACAGAAGAUCUAGAAUCUUUUUUUUUUUUCUUAAGGGCUGCACCUGUGGCUUAUGGAAGUUCCCAGGCUAGGGGUUAAAUCAGAGCUGUAGCUGCUGGCCUACAUCAGUCACAGCCAUAGCAAUGCCAGAUCCAUCCCCUGUCUGCAACCUACACCACAGCUCAUGACAGUACUGGAUCCUUAACCCUCUGAGCCAGGCCAGGGAUUGAACCCACAACCUCAUGGACACCAGUCGGGUUUGUUUCCACUGAGCCACACCGGAACUCCCUGGAAUCUUAGGUUUAGAUGUUUCUCCUUAAUUUUCUCUGGGGAGUACAAGGAUAUUACCUAAUCUUUUCAGGUUAAAAGUGUCAAUAUGUUAAUAUAGGAAGUAUUUUAAAAACCCCUUUUUGGCAUUUUUUCCACUUUUAAUGUCUCAGAUUCUCAAAGUGGACAUCACUGGAAUCUUUCUGGAGCCCUGAGUGGUCUUGUCUGUAGCUGUUGGCCACAUAGGCAUGUGCUGCUCACUGUGGAGAAGUAUGCUCUGCUGUUUGAUAGCUCUCACUGUCAGAAAUUCCAGCUGUCCAGACCCCAGCCUCCUGACUCAUAAUAGGCUUUCAGAAUCGCUCAGGACUCAAGAGUAACUGAACCAAAUCUAGAAACCGUUAGAAGAAACCAGCACGGCAGAGAAGAGCACAGGUUGUGGAUUAGAGAAGUUUCACUGGAUGAUGCACAGAUUGGCUGUCGAUAUUUUUAAAGGACCUGUGAAACCCGAGAAGCAUUCAAGGGGCGGGGAUGAGGCAGAAGCUACCAAGAAAAGAAAAGCAGAGGAGAAGAAGGAAGAGAGUGGGCGAAGAGGAGCAGCAGAAGUGAAGAAAGAGGACCAGGGAGAGGGAUGGCAGAGAGUGGGCUCUCUGAAGAGAGAACACCCAGAACCCUGAAAAUUAGCAUUCUGUGAGGGAAUAUCAUGCCUCUACAGUGUGGUGUGUGGAUGGGGCAGGGGAGCAGGUAACGGAGAAGGUGCACUGGAACUUCAUCUCAACCAUCAAUCCAAAGCCAUAGCAGCCAUCACACUUCAGCACUUAAUACAAGAUGAACUUGAUGGAAGUGUUAUGGGUUGCAUUUUGAUAGCUUUGUAAUGGAUCAAUCAGACUAAAUUGAAAGAAAAAAAAUCGUCUUUAGUUACCUCAGUUGAAACAAAGCCAUGUACUUUAAAGAAAAAUGCAGAGUGGGAGUGGAUCUUCAAAGCUGUGGGGCUCAAGGCAUCUUUAAAGAUGAAUGUCCUUCCCUUCUGGCCCCUUCCUCUCUAUCCCUCUCUUCUCUCCCCUUCCCCUCCUCCCUCUGUCUCAGCAGACUCUUCACAUCUAAUUUACUCUCUGUUCACCACCAAGUGACUUCAUCCUUCUCCUCUCUGUAUCUUUUCUGGUCCCUCCAAACUUUGGAUUACACAUGGCAUUAUGUCACCAUUAGCUCACUGCUGACUGGCACAGUUCUUCGGUGUUUCCCUUUAUACAUUUUGGAAACGAAGAUGCCAAACGGCUUAACUCACCCUUUCAGAGCUACACGAUGUGUCAUAUGCUAGAUUAUAAGUCUUCUGGCCGUUCAUCUUGGUGCCAAUUUUCAAGCUUCUCACCUGGGGGCAGGGCCAGGGUAGGGGCACAGUGGUAUGAAAUGUAGGUGCUUAGGCAAAGGAGAUGCCUAAGUGGUUGGGAUGAGAAAUUACCCAGGAGAGAUCCUCAGACAUCUCUAGUGCAGGCAUAGCUGCAAAGCAUUGUAAGAUAAUGGGCACAAAUGGGGUAGAACAGUGCUGAGUUGUAAUGCUGUCGAAUACUGUGGGUGCAACACAGUCUCCAGACUCCGUUUGUAAAAGACAAGACCAGGCACAUAGGAAAGUUGUGUUAGCUGUAAAAGAACAAACAAACAUUUGAAAGGUUGAUGAAUCACUGCACAUUCGUUCAUCUCCCUUAUACGAUAUCAAAUCUCAGAAAGGCAGCUGUUCACAUUUUCGGGUGCCUGGUAAAUCUUCUCAAGCGGCUGAGGAUUCAAUAUCAUGCAUAUGACAAAAUUAGGCAAGUCAACUGUGUGUUACAUGAGUGGCUCAUUUCGCCUGAUGUUCUAUUGCAUUUGCAGCUGCAGCUGCGUCUCAGACACGUAACAUUAACUGAUGUUCAUAAUGAUAACACUGAGUCAUUAAGAAAACCUGUAUUAUGUCUGGUACAGUAGACUUGAGAAGUAGAGAGAUGCAGUGGAGAAAGAACUAAGAUUCAGGAGUUCCUGCUUAAUUGCAGACGUGGAGAGAGGUGAGCUGCUUAUGCCUUUGCCCUUCAGCAACGGGAUUCCUGUGAGGCAGGCACAGUGAUACCCAUUCUACAGCUGAGAAAACAUGUUUAGAUGUGUUAGUAAAUUGUACAGAAUCCGGUUAGGAACGCAAAUCCAUCUUACUCCAGAACUUGCGUUCUCUCCUUACACCACCAAAUUUGCUGGGUGUUUUCGUUUGUUUGUUUGUUUUUGUUUUUGGUAGAGUCUAACAUGUGGCACAGAUGAUGUUAUCUACAAAACGGAAACAGAUCAUGGCCAAGGAGAGUACAUUUGUAGUUCCCAGGGGGGACAGCGGAGGGAGUGGAAUGGGCGGGCAGUUCCAGGUUUUUGGAUGCAAACUCUUAUAUUUGAAAUGGAUGAGCAAUGGGACCCUACAGGACAGCACAGCACAGGGAAAUGUGUGUGCCCGGGGUCACAUUGUUGUACAACAGAAAUUGAAGAAAUGUAAAUCAAUUACACUUUAAUAAAAAAAAAAAAAA